rnacentral:rRNA from 1 species
AGGACAAACGCUGGCGGCGUACUUAAGACAUGCAAGUCGAACGGGCGCUUCACCUUCGGGUGGGUGUGCUAGUGGCGGACGGGUGAGUAACGCGUAGGAACCUGUCAUCAAGAGGGGGGAUAACGCUGGGAAACCGGCGCUAAUACCGCAUGUGGUCAUGAAAAUGAAGAAAGCAGCAAUGCGCUUGAUGAGGGGCCUGCGUCCGAUUAGCUUGUUGGUGGGGUAAAGGCCUACCAAGGCAUCGAUCGGUAGCUGGUCUGAGAGGAUGGUCAGCCACACUGGGACUGAGACACGGCCCAGACUCCUACGGGAGGCAGCAGUUAGGAAAUUUUCCCAAUGGGCGCAAGCCUGAGGGAGUAACGCCGCGUGGAGGAUGACGGCUUUCGGGUGUAAACUCCUUUCUGUGGAGAGUAGAAGACGGUACCGCAGGAAUAAGCCUCGGCUAACUACGCGCCAGCAGCCGC